rnacentral:tRNA from 1 species
GGAGAGUUGCCAGAGUGGCCGAAUGGGACACACUGCUAAUGUGUUGACCUCGUAAGAGGUCCGAGGGUUCGAAUCCCUCACUCUCCGCCA